CGCGGCCUAUCAGCUUGUUGGUGGGGUAAUGGCCUACCAAGGCGACGACGGGUAGCCGGCCUGAGAGGGCGACCGGCCACACUGGGACUGAGACACGGCCCAGACUCCUACAGGAGGCAGCAGUGGGGAAUAUUGCACAAUGGGCGAAAGCCUGAUGCAGCGACGCCGCGUGAGGGAUGACGGCCUUCGGGUUGUAAACCUCUUUCAGCAGGGACGAAGCGAGAGUGACGGUACCUGCAGAAGAAGCACCGGCCAACUACGUGCCAGCAGCCGCGGUAAUACGUAGGGUGCGAGCGUUGUCCGGAAUUACUGGGCGUAAAGAGCUCGUAGGCGGUUUGUCGCGUCGUCCGUGAAAACCUGGGGCUCAACCCCAAGCUUGCGGGCGAUACGGGCAGACUUGAGUACUGCAGGGGAGACUGGAAUUCCUGGUGUAGCGGUGAAAUGCGCAGAUAUCAGGAGGAACACCGGUGGCGAAGGCGGGUCUCUGGGCAGUAACUGACGCUGAGGAGCGAAAGCGUGGGUAGCGAACAGGAUUAGAUACCCUGGUAGUCCACGCCGUAAACGGUGGGCGCUAGGUGUGGGUUUCCUUCCACGGGAUCCGUGCCGUAGCUAACGCAUUAAGCGCCCCGCCUGGGGAGUACGG
rnacentral:rRNA from 1 species